AGCUACGGCCAUGUCAUCCUGAAUGUACUGGAUCUUGUCUGAUCUUGGAAAUUAAGCAGGGGCGGGCCAGGUUAGAACUUAGAUGGGAGACCACCUAGGAAUAUCAGGUGCUGUAGGCA
rnacentral:rRNA from 1 species